UAAAAUGGAAUCAAUACCGGAGAUGAUGUUCGCAGCCAGAGAAGAGCCCUUGGAGUUCGUGUUCUGACAUACCAAUCAUCACGCGCCAUAAAAGAAAAAAUCUCAAUGCGUUAAAAGAAGAAAAAUUGGUGUGAUACGGGAGUCGUCUUUCGGUAAAAUAAUUGAAAUUGUAGACAUAAUAAUUUGUAAUUGUUGAUUUACAUGAGAAUUAG
rnacentral:lncRNA from 1 species